GGGGGUGUACUGGUUUCGACUAGGAAAUCAAGUAUUGAUUGCAUGCAGAGGGAGUCGGUUGGCCUCUUUAAAAAACCGGCAAAGCAAUAAAUGCUAAAGAAGACAAAGUACUCUCAGUUAAUUUUGCUGAGGCAGUAGCAGCAUAAGCUUUAAUUAGCUUCAUCUGCUCCGGACGCUUAAAAUUCACCAAGGGUUUUAGGCUGCGCCGUUAUUUUACUUGGUAUGACUUUAGGAGGCUUAAAGCUUUCAGCCGUCUUGGAGUCGAGAUCUAAUGAAAGCUGGCUCUUUCUUUUUGCCGCAUCUUCAUAGGGAAAGGGUUCUAUUAAAAGAUGCUAAGCAUGUAGUGGUUAAUAUGUAGUUUGCUUAGGACGAGAGUUCGAUUCUCUCCACCUCCAUUA
rnacentral:tmRNA from 1 species